AGGUUACUGCUAUCGGUGUUCGCCUAAGCCAUGCGAGUCAUAUGUUCGUAAGAACAUGGCGUACUGCUCAGUAACACGUGGAUAAGCUGCCUUGGGUCCGGCAUAACCCCGGGAAACUGGGGAUAAUUCCGGAUAACGCACAUAUGCUGGAAUGCUUUAUGCGUAAAAUGGAUUCGUCUGCCACAAGGAUGGGUCUGCGCCCUAUCAGGUAGUAGUGGGUGUAAUGUACCUACUAGCCUACGACGGGUACGGGUUGUGAGAGCAAGAGCCCGGAGAUGGAUUCUGAGACAUGAAUCCAGGCCCUACGGGGCGCAGCAGGCGCGAAAACUUUACAAUGCGGGAAACCGUGAUAAGGGGACACCGAGUGCCAGCAUCCUAUGCUGGCUGUCCGGGUGUGUAAAAUACACCUGUUAGCAAGGGCCGGGCAAGACCGGUGCCAGCCGCCGCGGUAACACCGGCGGCCCGAGUGGUGAUCGUGAUUAUUGGGUCUAAAGGGUCCGUAGCCGGUUUGGUCAGUCCUCCGGGAAAUCUGACAGCUUAACUGUUAGGCUUUCGGAGGAUACUGCCAGACUUGGAACCGGGAGAGGUAAGAGGUACUACAGGGGUAGGAGUGAAAUCUUGUAAUCCCUGUGGGACCACCUGUGGCGAAGGCGUCUUACCAGAACGGGUUCGACGGUGAGGGACGAAAGCUGGGGGCACGAACCGGAUUAGAUACCCGGGUAGUCCCAGCCGUAAACGAUGCUCGCUAGGUGUCAGGCAUGGCGCGACCGUGUCUGGUGCCGCAGGGAAGCCGUGAAGCGAGCCACCUGGGAAGUACGGCCGCAAGGCUGAAACUUAA
rnacentral:rRNA from 1 species